rnacentral:siRNA from 1 species
CUUGCGGUGUCUUGAAGGCCGGCC